GCGUAAAGAGCUCGUAGGUGGUUUGUCGCGUUGUUCGUGAAAUCUCACGGCUUAACUGUGAGCGUGCGGGCGAUACGGGCAGACUUGAGUACUGCAGGGGAGACUGGAAUUCCUGGUGUAGCGGUGGAAUGCGCAGAUAUCAGGAGGAACACCGGUGGCGAAGGCAGGUCUCUGGGCAGUAACUGACGCUGAGGAGCGAAAGCGUGGGGAGCGAACAGGAUUAGAUACCCUGGUAGUCCACGCCGUAAACGGUGGGUACUAGGUGUGGGUUUCCUUCCUUGGGAUCCGUGCCGUAGCUAACGCAUUAAGUACCCCGCCUGGGGAGUACGGCCGCAAGGCUAAAACUCAAAGAAAUUGACGGGGGCCCGCACAAGCGGCGGAGCAUGUGGAUUAAUUCGAUGCAACGCGAAGAACCUUACCUGGGUUUGACAUGCACAGGACGCCGGCAGAGAUGUCGGUUCCCUUGUGGCCUGUGUGCAGGUGGUGCAUGGCUGUCGUCAGCUCGUGUCGUGAGAUGUUGGGUUAAGUCCCGCAACGAGCGCAACCCUUGUCUCAUGUUGCCAGCGGGUAAUGCCGGGGACUCGUGAGAGACUGCCGGGGUCAACUCGGAGGAAGGUGGGGAUGACGUCAAGUCAUCAUGCCCCUUAUGUCCAGGGCUUCACACAUGCUACAAUGGCCGGUACAAAGGGCUGCGAUGCCGCGAGGUUAAGCGAAUCCUUUUAAAGCCGGUCUCAGUUCGGAUCGGGGUCUGCAACUCGACCC
rnacentral:rRNA from 1 species